ACAAGAGGAGGAUUUCCUGGAAGAUCCUGUGACUCUUAAUUCUGCUGAUUUUGAUGAUUAUAAAAGACAGAUUUUUAUAUUUGAGAAGCGCGCGGUUCACUCAUCACUACGUUGUACCACCAUCUACGGGACAGUUCGGGGCAGAGCUUCAUGGAUAAAUGAUAAAGCACAUAUUUAUUGUUUAUUGUGUGUCUCUCAAACAACACGGCCUUGUUCAUUGGGGACACGGCGACACAGCGUGAAGUCAUGUGAGGCUGUAAGCGUGUUGAGCAGCUUUACAUUCCGCAGAGGGAUCAACGCUGUGGCAACGUGACGUUAUGAGACAUUUACAAACACGUCUGUGUGCAACAUUAGUGUUAAAUCUGCAAAUACAGAGCGGCCGUCUUGAAGAAGUGACGCGGGGGAAGGAACCAGAUUAAAGUAUUAGGCUGAAAACGAGGCCUUCGGCUCACCGGACCGACGCCGGCUCCUCCUUCCUCCAUUCAAUCCUUCACAGCGCUCCCCGGCCGCAUGGCGAGCUGGUGGACCGCCGAGGAGGUGCUGGACCAUCUGGACCUGGAGGAGGACUCCGUCGUGGCUCGGCUCAUUCAGGCCGUCGGGCUGUUCGGGGACAUCCUGUCCGUGGAGGACGCCAUGUCGGGGGAGGAGGAGGAGUGCAAAGAGGUGGAAGGAGCAGAAGAAGAACGCCAGGAACCGACGAUGGAGGGAGGCGAAGAAGAAAAGGUGGGAAACCAAGAGGAAGAGGAGAAAGAUGAUGAAGAUGUUGAAACGGAAAAGCUGGUAGAAUUGAGAGAAGAGGAGGAAGAAAGGGUAAGAAAGGGGGAGGCGGAGGAGGAGAUGCAGGGAAGAGAGGAAGAGCAGGUAUUAGAAAAGGAGGUAGACGAAGAGAAAAAUGAUGAAGAAAAGACUCAAAUAGAGGCAGAGGAAGGAGGAAGGCAAGAGUAUACAUUUGAGGAGGAAGGGGAGGAGAAGGAGGCAGAAGUAGGCAGUUUAAAAGAGGAGGAUGAGGAUAAACCCAUAUGGACAGUUGAGGCUGAUCAGGAAGAGACGCAAAGACGGGAUGAAGAAUUGGGAGAAGAAGGAAAGGAGCCCAGGAAAGAGGAUGCAAGCUAUGGAAGGGAAGAGUUAGAGGCUCAGGAGGAAGAAGAGGAGGAGGAAGAGGAGAUCAUGGGGGAUGGAAGCGAUAAGGACAGCCAUGAUGAAGAGGUUGAAGAACAGAGUGAGGUAGGGAUGGAGGACCUAGCAGAGAGAGAAGAGGGAGAAGAAGAAAGAAAUGAAAAAUACAGGAGGAUGGAGAAAAAAGCACAUGAAAGAAAGGUAGAAGAAGAAAAGACAGAGGCCUUAGACCAGGAAGUAAGAAAUGUAGAAGAAGAAAAUAUGGAGGCUCUAGGAAACAAAGAACAUGUAGAAGAAGAAAAGAUGGAGGCCUUAGGAGACAAUUUGGAAAAUGUAGAAGAAGAGGAAAAGAUGGCGGCGUUGGGAAACACUGUAGAAAAUGCAGAAGAAGAAGAAAAGAUGGAGGCCUUUGGAGACAAGGUGGACAAUUUGGAAGUAGAAAAAGAGAUGGAAGAUACAGGAGAUAAUAAGAUGGAGAAAGAAGAAGAGAUGGAGACCUUGGAACACAAAGUAGAACAUGAAGAAGAAGAAGAAGAGGCGGAGGAACCCAACAAUGAGCCAGCACACCAGAUCGAUCCCCCAGAUUCCCAGGAAUCAUCUCCCCCAUCGCCUCCACGAGCCUCUGAAUCUGCAAAAGCGCUGAGUCAUGCCGGUGCAGCGGCAGCAAAGGAACCCCGCCGAGACACCACAGAAGAAGAGCAGAGCUCAGGCGCUGCUAAAACCCUCAACAAUGACCUUCCAACAGCGGCGAGCAGAGACAAGGCGACGGAGGGACGGCAGAAUGCGACGGACACAAAGUCGGCGGACGCCCGUCCGGCCCUGAGGGAGGAGGAGGGAAGGAGUUUGGGAGAGCGUCUUGAAGCAACGCCGCUGACAUCACUUCCUGUCUCUGGACGGCCAGGAGAACCGGCAGGUGACCCCCAGGACACGACAGCUGAGCCACACACAGGUCGCGGAUCGGAGGCGAAGGCGUCGCUGGUGGACGGGGCCAGCGAGGCGCCGAGAGGGAGCAAAGAUCCGAGUCCGGCCGCGAACUCGUCCGCCGCUGGAAACCCAGAAGCGGGAGCACAGGAGGACAAAGAGCGAGGAAGUCCGAACCCUCUCGUCACAAACAGCGAGGCGGACGGCAAGAAGAACGGCAGCCAUCAGUCCUCCAAGUACAAAACCGUGUCCUUCAGGAGGAUCCGGAGAGGAAACACCCGGCAGAGGAUCGAUGAGUUUGAGGCUAUGAUGGACGCGUGA
ensembl:lncRNA